GGUAAUUUACAAGUACUGAACCAAAAAUGUUGAACUUUGGAGCACUACCAUAUGCAGCUUCUGCAUCAGAACACUUCUUGAAAACAACUCUGGCACGAUUGGUAUCCUUAUCUACUUCUGUCUCUGACUCUUUCAAAGGCCCAAACCGCCUAAACAUCUUAUUCAGGCUUAUUUCUGAAGGAACACAAUCCACCACAGGAAAAUGCAUAACAAGUUCUGCUGGUGCAUUCUCAUCUACGUAACUCACUGGUUUCUCUGCUGAUAGACCAUAAUUGCCAUCAGAAUACCGCUUUCUAGAGUUUGACUUAUUAAGGGCCUUGUCCUGGUCCAUAGAAACAAGUUGAUUAUCCCGUUUUCUACUUUUACGUGGUGGUUGCUCUUCAGAACCAUUUUGAAUAACCCGGUCGGUCCAAUAAGUGUCAUUCAUAUCCUCAAAUUCGAAUGUCUCAGGAGAACAAAAAAUGGAAUGAGAUGCUUGUCUCCUUUUACAACCUACUUUCUCAUGCUGUUCCAUAAUCACUGAGUUCCUAAAAUCAGAGAAAAAACUAAUAAUG
rnacentral:misc_RNA from 1 species